CUCUGGGACAAGCCCUGGAAACGGGGUCUAAUACCGGAUACGACACGGGGUCGCAUGAUCUCCGUGUGGAAAGCUCCGGCGGUGAAGGAUGAGCCCGCGGCCUAUCAGCUUGUUGGUGAGGUAAUGGCUCACCAAGGCGACGACGGGUAGCCGGCCUGAGAGGGCGACCGGCCACACUGGGACUGAGACACGGCCCAGACUCCUACGGGAGGCAGCAGUGGGGAAUAUUGCACAAUGGGCGAAAGCCUGAUGCAGCGACGCCGCGUGAGGGAUGACGGCCUUCGGGUUGUAAACCUCUUUCAGCAGGGAAGAAGCGAAAGUGACGGUACCUGCAGAAGAAGCGCCGGCUAACUACGUGCCAGCAGCCGCGGUAAUACGUAGGGCGCAAGCGUUGUCCGGAAUUAUUGGGCGUAAAGAGCUCGUAGGCGGCUUGUCACGUCGGUUGUGAAAGCCCGGGGCUUAACCCCGGGUCUGCAGUCGAUACGGGCAGGCUAGAGUGUGGUAGGGGAGAUCGGAAUUCCUGGUGUAGCGGUGAAAUGCGCAGAUAUCAGGAGGAACACCGGUGGCGAAGGCGGAUCUCUGGGCCAUUACUGACGCUGAGGAGCGAAAGCGUGGGGAGCGAACAGGAUUAGAUACCCUGGUAGUCCACGCCGUAAACGGUGGGAACUAGGUGUUGGCGACAUUCCACGUCGUCGGUGCCGCAGCUAACGCAUUAAGUUCCCCGCCUGGGGAGUACGGCCGCAAGGCUAA
rnacentral:rRNA from 1 species